rnacentral:rRNA from 1 species
UACAGAGGGUGCGAGCGUUAAUCGGAAUUACUGGGCGUAAAGCGCACGUAGGCGGCUUGGUAUGUCGGGUGUGAAAUCCCCGGGCUCAACCUGGGAACUGCAUCCGAAACUGCCUUGCUCGAGUAUGGGAGAGGGAAGUGGAAUUUCCGGUGUAGCGGUGAAAUGCGUAGAUAUCGAGAGGAACACCUGCGGCGAAGGCGGGUUGCUGGGCUGACACUGACGCUGAUGCGCGAAAGCUAGGGGAGCGAACGGG